rnacentral:rRNA from 1 species
GACGAACGCUGGCGGCGUGCCUAAUACAUGCAAGUCGAACGAACUCUGGUAUUGAUUGGUGCUUGCAUCAUGAUUUACAUUUGAGUGAGUGGCGAACUGGUGAGUAACACGUGGGAAACCUGCCCAGAAGCGGGGGAUAACACCUGGAAACAGAUGCUAAUACCGCAUAACAACUUGGACCGCAUGGUCCGAGCUUGAAAGAUGGCUUCGGCUAUCACUUUUGGAUGGUCCCGCGGCGUAUUAGCUAGAUGGUGGGGUAACGGCUCACCAUGGCAAUGAUACGUAGCCGACCUGAGAGGGUAAUCGGCCACAUUGGGACUGAGACACGGCCCAAACUCCUACGGGAGGCAGCAGUAGGGAAUCUUCCGCAAUGGACGAAAGUCUGAUGGAGCAACGCCGCGUGAGUGAAGAAGGGUUUCGGCUCGUAAAACUCUGUUGUUAAAGAAGAACAUAUCUGAGAGUAACUGUUCAGGUAUUGACGGUAUUUAACCAGAAAGCCACGGCUAACUACGUGCCAGCAGCCGCGGUAAUACGUAGGUGGCAAGCGUUGUCCGGAUUUAUUGGGCGUAAAGCGAGCGCAGGCGGUUUUUUAAGUCUGAUGUGAAAGCCUUCGGCUCAACCGAAGAAGUGCAUCGGAAACUGGGAAACUUGAGUGCAGAAGAGGACAGUGGAACUCCAUGUGUAGCGGUGAAAUGCGUAGAUAUAUGGAAGAACACCAGUGGCGAAGGCGGCUGUCUGGUCUGUAACUGACGCUGAGGCUCGAAAGUAUGGGUAGCAAACAGGAUUAGAUACCCUGGUAGUCCAUACCGUAAACGAUGAAUGCUAAGUGUUGGAGGGUUUCCGCCCUUCAGUGCUGCAGCUAACGCAUUAAGCAUUCCGCCUGGGGAGUACGGCCGCAAGGCUGAAACUCAAAGGAAUUGACGGGGGCCCGCACAAGCGGUGGAGCAUGUGGUUUAAUUCGAAGCUACGCGAAGAACCUUACCAGGUCUUGACAUACUAUGCAAAUCUAAGAGAUUAGACGUUCCCUUCGGGGACAUGGAUACAGGUGGUGCAUGGUUGUCGUCAGCUCGUGUCGUGAGAUGUUGGGUUAAGUCCCGCAACGAGCGCAACCCUUAUUAUCAGUUGCCAGCAUUAAGUUGGGCACUCUGGUGAGACUGCCGGUGACAAACCGGAGGAAGGUGGGGAUGACGUCAAAUCAUCAUGCCCCUUAUGACCUGGGCUACACACGUGCUACAAUGGAUGGUACAACGAGUUGCGAACUCGCGAGAGUAAGCUAAUCUCUUAAAGCCAUUCUCAGUUCGGAUUGUAGGCCGCAACUCGCCUACAUGAAGUCGGAAUCGCUAGUAAUCGCGGAUCAGCAUGCCGCGGUGAAUACGUUCCCGGGCCUUGUACACACCGCCCGUCACACCAUGAGAGUUUGUAACACCCAAAGUCGGUGGGGUAACCUUUUAGGAACCAGCCGCCUAAGGUGGGACAGAUGAUUAGGGUG